rnacentral:lncRNA from 1 species
CUCGGGCGCCCGCACACGGUACGAUCGUGCCGGGUCGGUGUGUGCGACGGAGGGCAUGGCGCUGUGCCGAGUCGACCCACGAGGCCGUGGCCCAGGCCGUGGCGCCAUCGCUGUCGUCCUCUCUGUCGCCAAUGACCCCUUGGGCACCACCGGCGGAUGCCGUGCCGUCGUCGUCGUCGUCGUCGUCGUCGAGGUUGACGACAAUGACGGCCGCAAGGUAGAGUUGCCGCCCUUGGUCGUCUGUCCGUUCCGCCAGCGUCUUGUGCGUGACGACGCGACACAACCCGUGUGCUUGCACGACGGCAACGGCAGCCAGAAGGGCGCCGAUCGCCGCCCACUUGGCCGUGCUCGCCAUGACGGCGCGGGCCACACGCAAAAAGAAAAAAGAAAACGAAAAAAAGGGGAAAAAAGAAAGAAUAAAAUCAAAGAGAAACCAAAC